CAGGAGAAUUGCUUAAACCCGGGAGGCAGAGGUUGCAGUGAGCUGAGAUCGCACCACUGCACUCUAGCCUGGGUGACAGAGAGAGACUCUGUCUCAAAUAACAUAACAUAACAUAACAUAACAUAACAUAACAUUACAUAACAUAACAUAAAAUGCAUUUAUCCUAGUCGGUAUUGAUUUGUUUACUUGUUGAUUUUCACUUGCAUAUCACGGAGACCCUCUCUCUCUUGCUCUGUCAAGUGCCUUCUCAAGGCGGAAGGCCUCACACAUGGCAGGCAGUACAAGGAAAUCCUCUGUCUAUCAACAACUGUGCCCUAUCGGGCUGAGCAAAUAGGCCUGAGGACUUUAGUUUUCCAGUCACAAUGAAGAACAUGUAAUAAGUGGGGCCAGUGGAAGCUGUUUCCAACCUAGGCUAGGCAAUUAACCCACUGACUCAAUGUGAUGAUGCUGUCUUGAUUUGAUUCUCUACUUCAUUCAAAACAGGCUCAGACUGAAUAGAAAAGAGAAUCUGUUCAAAGUUUGGUUACAGAUUCCACUUGUUAAUUGAUGAUGAUGGUGAACGAGCAGAGUGUAUGACAUUUUGCUAAGUGUUCAUUGUGAAAAGAGUUCAGAGCUUGGAUCCAGGAACUUGCCCCACCAAUGGGGUUUUGCUGUAGGCAGCUGUACGGCCUUGGGCGAGGCAUUUACCCCUUUCUCUCUCUGUGUUCUUUCUUUCUUUCUCUCCCUUCUUUCUCCUUUCUUUUCUCUUCUCUUCUCCUUCCUUCCUUUCUCUCUCUCCCUUCCUCCCUUCCUUCCUUCCUUCCCUCCCUUCCCUCCCUUCCUUCCCUUCCUUCCCUUCCUUUCCUUCCUUUUCUUUUUUGAGACAAGGUCUGGCUCUAUCACCCAGGCUGGAGUGCAGUGGCAUGAUCUCUGCUCACUGCAACCGCCACCUCCCAGGUUCAAGCAGUUC
rnacentral:lncRNA from 1 species